rnacentral:rRNA from 1 species
AUUGAACGCUGGCGGCAGGCUUAACACAUGCAAGUCGAGCGGGGUGAUGGUGCUUGCACUAUCACUUAGCGGCGGACGGGUGAGUAAUGCUUAGGAAUCUGCCUAUUAGUGGGGGACAACAUCUCGAAAGGGAUGCUAAUACCGCAUACGUCCUACGGGAGAAAGCAGGGGAUCACUUGUGACCUUGCCCUAAUAGAUGAGCCUAAGUCGGAUUAGCUAGUUGGUGGGGUAAAGGCCUACCAAGGCGACGAUCUGUAGCGGGUCUGAGAGGAUGAUCCGCCACACUGGGACUGAGACACGGCCCAGACUCCUACGGGAGGCAGCAGUGGGGAAUAUUGGACAAUGGGGGGAACCCUGAUCCAGCCAUGCAGCGUGUGUGAAGAAGGCCUUAUGGUUGUAAAGCACUUUAAGCGAGGAGGAGGCUCUUUUGGCUAAUACCCAAGAUGAGUGGACGUUACUCGCAGAAUAAGCACCGGCUAACUCUGUGCCAGCCGCCGCGGUAA